rnacentral:rRNA from 1 species
CCUACGGGAGGCUGCAGUGAGGAAUAUUGGUCAAUGGACGCAAGUCUGAACCAGCCAAGCCGCGUGAAGGAAGACGGCCCUAUGAGUUGUAAACUGCUUUUGUACGAGGGUAAACGCAGAUUCGCGUAUCUGUCUGAAAGUAUCGUACGAAAAAGGCUUGGCUAACUCCGUGCCAGCAGCCGCGGUAAUACGGAGGAUUCCAGCGUUAUCCGGAUUUUUUGGGUUUAAAGGGUGCGUAGGCGGUCGGAUAAGUUAGAGGUUAAAUCCCGGGGCUCAAAUUCGGAAUUGCCUCUGAUACUGGUCGGCUAGAGAGUAGUUGCGGUAUGCGGAAUGUAUGGUGUAGCGGUGAAAUGCUUAGAGAUCACACAGAACACCGAUUGCGAAGGCAGCUUACCAAGCUACGUCUGACGUUGAGGCACGAAAGCGUGGGGAGCAAACAGGAUUAGAUACCCGUGUAGUC